UUCUGUCGUAUGUCUUUUAGACCUGCAACUCCGUUGAGGCGAGCCAGGCUAACAUGACAUCGUCCAGGUCACUCAGACCUGGUUCACCAUUCAGUGGCCGGUGUCUGGGGCAACUGGUGAUGUGUGUGGGGGUCAC